UGGGGAAUUUUGGACAAUGGGCGAAAGCCUGAUCCAGCAAUGCCGCGUGUGUGAAGAAGGCCUUCGGGUUGUAAAGCACUUUUGUCCGGAAAGAAAUCCUUGGCUCUAAUACAGUCGGGGGAUGACGGUACCGGAAGAAUAAGCACCGGCUAACUACGUGCCAGCAGCCGCGGUAAUACGUAGGGUGCAAGCGUUAAUCGGAAUUACUGGGCGUAAAGCGUGCGCAGGCGGUUUGCUAAGACCGAUGUGAAAUCCCCGGGCUCAACCUGGGAACUGCAUUGGUGACUGGCAGGCUAGAGUAUGGCAGAGGGGGGUAGAAUUCCACGUGUAGCAGUGAAAUGCGUAGAGAUGUGGAGGAAUACCGAUGGCGAAGGCAGCCCCCUGGGCCAAUACUGACGCUCAUGCACGAAAGCGUGGGGAGCAAACAGGAUUAGAUACCCUGGUAGUCCACGCCCUAAACGAUGUCAACUAGUUGUUGGGGAUCAUUCUAGUAACGUAGCUAACGCGUGAAGUUGACCGCCUGGGGAGUACGGUCGCAAGAUUAAAACUCAAAUGAAUUGACGGGGUCAUAGCUGUUUCCU
rnacentral:rRNA from 1 species